AUUGCAUUUAAAUGAUCUAGGAAAGAUAUUUAGGGGCAGAGAGAAAGGAAUAAGGAGAGAGAAAGGAAUAAGGAGGUGUCUGUCAAACAUUUCUUCGGGUGUCCGUGGUAUCCAAACAGAGUAGAUGGAUAUGUUAGGAAAGUCAGGAGAUAGUCCAAAGGGGCCUCCACAGGCAUGAAAUCACAGGUAGUCGAUCUUUAAACUUUAUGUGAAUUGACCCUAUAUUCUAUAAUAUAUCCAUGUUGGUUUUAAUGUUUUUAAAAAGCCCCUUUUAAAUUUCCAGUUAAACUUUCAAAUAUUUUGCCCAAUUCGCUAAGAGAAAUGGAUAUACCAGGAAGAUGUGCUAUAUUCUAUCCUGGGCUUCCCAUCUCCAGCCCUACUGUAGAUGCCCCCUGCUUUAAGAAUCAAAGGUCUAAAGGUACCAAAGGAGGUCUCUGUGGUUGUAUAAUUAAAUCCAAGGACCUGUGCACCGGGAAAGAAAAUGCUGAGCACAGCAUGAGCAAGGGGGUUUUGCAAGGCAAGCUGGAGUCACUUGGGGUUGCUUUGGGAGGUGAAGGAAGGCACUAGAAGAUCUGAGGAAGAGGUAGCCAAAGUUCUGAAUAUAUAAAAGUUGCGUAAUUAUAGGCACCGUCAGGUACCACCUGCAUCUCUGGAGGCAGCACCCCCAUCUCCACUGUGGCUUUGGCUGCCAGCCAGAGCUGCCGUUUUAUUGACAACUUAUUGGAGUGCUUCUCCCAUUGAGCUUUCAUGAUGGUAUUCAUGUCACACUCUGCUUGGGCCUCAGAUAAAAGGUCCUUCAUCUACACUCCCCAAGACCAUUAUCACUGCUUAUUAUAAUGCCAUUCAGAUGAAAAGCCCCACAGCACUACAAGGAAGAUCUAGACUUAUAAUAAAAUCUAUACUUCUUUGUUUCCUUGCAAGACAAUUAAACAUGGAGAAAUAGGCGGGUCUACAGGCUGUUACCCUUGAGACUUUCCAGAGGAAGGACGCAAGGCUAGGCGGCAGCUGUCUGUGGGGAGCUUCUGUCUCAUUUCAUCUGGGCUUGGGGUGAAUGGAAAGGCUCAUGCAUCUGAUUGAUGAGCACUAGCUUAUAGAUGACAGCACAGGCCUUCUGCUUCCUAACUCUUGUCAGCCUGCUCCAAGCACUGGCUUUCCAGCAAGCAGCUAUUUCCUCAGCCCUUUCUUCUUCCCCAGCCAGGGAGGCUUUAACCUAAGCCCAGACUAAAUGCCAGCAGUUUUCUCCAAGCUCUUGGGUCCUAUCUACUGACUGGCCGGCAUAGCCUCAUGGAGACUGUAGUCAAAGAAGAGUGUUUAGGCUCUAAGUAUGAGAAGAUUCAAGGAAUGGAUUGACAAGAAAGCAAAUAUAGAAUUUUUGUACAAUGCAGAGAGAUCAGAAAAAUGGAAAGAGAUGGAAACGAGGAGAGAUAACAAGAAAAAGAAGAGACAAGGAAGAAAGUUGGGAGGGAAGAAUCUUCAGAAUCAUGCAACAAAUCAGACAAAGUUAGCCCAGCUUCCAAGGGGCUAACCUGGAGAAUGCAAAGCUGAGAAGAAGCCAAGGCAAAAUAAGCCAAUAGACUGAGGAGUGGCCCACCAUGCUGAGUGUCCUGCAAGGCAUAAAUCGAGUUGACUCAAAAGAUCUAUGGACACAGGACUGCAGCUUCUGAGGCCUCUGAAAGAAGUGACAUUGUUCCAAGAUGUCCAGACCAAAGCAUCACCUCUGCGAUCCAGCUUAAGAUUUAUUUGUGGCUGAGAAAUAUACUGCCAUCUACACCCAGGCAGUGUAAGGUCUAAAAGGAGCGACACUGCCUGUUCCUGAAGGAAUAAGGAGUGGGAAGAGAAGAAAGGAGAAAUGAAGCAGGGAGAGUCAGUCCUGCACUGGCUGCAGGUCAUGGCCAGUCGGCAGCCACACAGAAGAUGCAGAAGAGAACAGGCGACCCCUGUUAUCUUCUGGUUACUCCUAGAGAUUCCUUUUUCUCCCUGCUGGUUGCCCUGCAGAAUGUGAAGUGGCACAAGAAUUCAGGAUGGGGACCACAGAGAGACUGGCUGACCACAGGAGAGGCAGUGGUGAUGGCCCAUCUCUUCAGCCCUGUGGCAUCCCCACAGGAUCCAUGGGAGUCAAGUAGACAAGGUGGUUUUACAAUGGCAGGAGAUGCUAGAGGAAAUUCAUUUACCUGCCUGUAAGAAGAAGCCUGAGGUCACAGGUGGCCCUUAAACCUGGCCAUGUGGGUCAGCCUCUGCACUCCUUAAACAUUAUACAAUCAAU